CAAUAGCGUAUAUUAAAGUUGUUGCAGUUAAAAAGCUCGUAGUUGGAUUUCUGGAUGGAGCGACCGGUCGGGCAUUAAUUUGUCUGCACUGGAGUCGGUUCCGUCCAUCCUCUUGGAAAGUGCGUGGGGCAUUAAGUUGUCUGGCGUAUGAUCCAAGUCGUUUACUGUGAAAAAAUUAGAGUGUUUAAAGCAGGCCUUCGCCUUGAAUACAUUAGCAUGGAAUAAUAAGAUAGGACUUUGGUCUAUUUUGUUGGUUUGCAGACCGAAGUAGUGAUUAAUAGGGAUAGUUGGGGGUAUUUAUAUUCCGAUGUCAGAGGUGAAAUUCUUAGAUUUUCGGAAGAUAAACUUAUGCGAAAGCAUUUACCAAGGAUGUUUUCAUUAA
rnacentral:rRNA from 1 species